rnacentral:rRNA from 1 species
GGUCAGGCUGAAGACCUUACCCGAUUAGCUGAGAGGUGGUGCAUGGCCGUCGUCAGUUCGUACUGUGAAGCAUCCUGUUAAGUCAGGCAACGAGCGAGACCCACGUCCACAGUUGCCAGCAUACCCUCCGGGGUGAUGGGUACACUAGGUGGAGACCGGCCGCUGCUAAAGCGGAGGAAGGAGUGGGCAACGGUAGGUCAGUAUGCCCCGAAUCUCCCGGGCUACACGCGGGCUACAAUGGUUGGUACAAUGGGCAUCUACCCCGAAAGGGGAAGGAAAUCUACUUAAAGCCAAUCGUAGUUCGGAUUGAGGGCUGCAACUCGCCCUCAUGAAGCUGGAAUCCGUAGUAAUCGCGUUUCAACAGAACGCGGUGAAUACGUCCCUGCGUCCUU